UUUGGCGACCAUAGCACUUUGGACCCACCUGAUUCCAUCCCGAACUCAGAAGUGAAACGAAGUAGCGCCGAUGGUAGU
rnacentral:rRNA from 1 species